AGCGUACACGGUGGAUGCCCUGGCAGUCAGAGGCGAUGAAGGACGUGCUAAUCUGCGAAAAGCGUCGGUAAGGUGAUAUGAACCGUUACAGCCGGCGAUGUCCGAAUGGGGAAACCCAGUGCAAUUCGUUGCACUAUCGUUAACUGAAUACAUAGGUUAACGAGGCGAACCGGGGGAACUGAAACAUCUAAGUACCCCGAGGAAAAGAAAUCAACCGAGAUUCCCCCAGUAGCGGCGAGCGAACGGGGAGCAGCCCAGAGUCUGAAUCAGCUUGUGUGUUAGUGGAACGGUCUGGAAAGUCCGACGGUACAGGGUGAUAGUCCCGUACACCAAAAUGCACAGGCUGUGAACUCGAAGAGUAGGGCGGGACACGUGGUAUCCUGUCUGAAUAUGGGGGGACCAUCCUCCAAGGCUAAAUACUCCUGACUGACCGAUAGUGAACCAGUACCGUGAGGGAAAGGCGAAAAGAACCCCGGCGAGGGGAGUGAAAAAGAACCUGAAACCGUGUACGUACAAGCAGUGGGAGCACCUUCGGGUGUGACUGCGUACCUUUUGUAUAAUGGGUCAGCGACUUAUAUUCUGUAGCAAGGUUAACCGUAUAGGGGAGCCGCAGGGAAACCGAGUCUUAACUGGGCGUUAAGUUGCAGGGUAUAGACCCGAAACCCGGUGAUCUAGCCAUGGGCAGGUUGAAGGUUGGGUAACACUAACUGGAGGACCGAACCGACUAAUGUUGAAAAAUUAGCGGAUGACUUGUGGCUGGGGGUGAAAGGCCAAUCAAACCGGGAGAUAGCUGGUUCUCCCCGAAAGCUAUUUAGGUAGCGCCUCGUGAACUCAUCUUCGGGGGUAGAGCACUGUUUCGGCUAGGGGGUCAUCCCGACUUACCAACCCGAUGCAAACUACGAAUACCGAAGAAUGUUAUCACGGGAGACACACGGCGGGUGCUAACGUCCGUCGUGAAGAGGGAAACAACCCAGACCGCCAGCUAAGGUCCCAAAGUCAUGGUUAAGUGGGAAACGAUGUGGGAAGGCACAGACAGCCAGGAUGUUGGCUUAGAAGCAGCCAUCAUUUAAAGAAAGCGUAAUAGCUCACUGGUCGAGUCGGCCUGCGCGGAAGAUGUAACGGGGCUAAACCAUGCACCGAAGCUGCGGCAGCGACACUAUGUGUUGUUGGGUAGGGGAGCGUUCUGUAAGCCGUUGAAGGUGUGCUGUGAGGCAUGCUGGAGGUAUCAGAAGUGCGAAUGCUGACAUAAGUAACGAUAAAGCGGGUGAAAAGCCCGCUCGCCGGAAGACCAAGGGUUCCUGUCCAACGUUAAUCGGGGCAGGGUGAGUCGACCCCUAAGGCGAGGCCGAAAGGCGUAGUCGAUGGGAAACAGGUUAAUAUUCCUGUACUUGGUGUUACUGCGAAGGGGGGACGGAGAAGGCUAUGUUAGCCGGGCGACGGUUGUCCCGGUUUAAGCAUGUAGGCUGAUUGUCCAGGCAAAUCCGGAUAAUCAAGGCUGAGGUGUGAUGACGAGGCACUACGGUGCUGAAGUAACAAAUGCCCUGCUUCCAGGAAAAGCCUCUAAGCAUCAGGUAACAUCAAAUCGUACCCCAAACCGACACAGGUGGUCAGGUAGAGAAUACCAAGGCGCUUGAGAGAACUCGGGUGAAGGAACUAGGCAAAAUGGUGCCGUAACUUCGGGAGAAGGCACGCUGGUGUGUAGGUGAAGUCCCUGCGGAUGGAGCUGAGACCAGUCGAAGAUACCAGCUGGCUGCAACUGUUUAUUAAAAACACAGCACUGUGCAAACACGAAAGUGGACGUAUACGGUGUGACGCCUGCCCGGUGCCGGAAGGUUAAUUGAUGGGGUUAUCCGUAAGGAGAAGCUCUUGAUCGAAGCCCCGGUAAACGGCGGCCGUAACUAUAACGGUCCUAAGGUAGCGAAAUUCCUUGUCGGGUAAGUUCCGACCUGCACGAAUGGCGUAAUGAUGGCCAGGCUGUCUCCACCCGAGACUCAGUGAAAUUGAACUCGCUGUGAAGAUGCAGUGUACCCGCGGCAAGACGGAAAGACCCCGUGAACCUUUACUAUAGCUUGACACUGAACAUUGAGCCUUGAUGUGUAGGAUAGGUGGGAGGCUUUGAAGCGUGGACGCCAGUCUGCGUGGAGCCGUCCUUGAAAUACCACCCUUUAAUGGCUGGUGUUCUAACGUAGACCCGUAAUCCGGGUUGCGGACAGUGUCUGGUGGGUAGUUUGACUGGGGCGGUCUCCUCCCAAAGAGUAACGGAGGAGCACGAAGGUUAGCUAAUCCUGGUCGGACAUCAGGAGGUUAGUGCAAUGGCAUAAGCUAGCUUGACUGCGAGCGUGACGGCGCGAGCAGGUGCGAAAGCAGGUCAUAGUGAUCCGGUGGUUCUGAAUGGAAGGGCCAUCGCUCAACGGAUAAAAGGUACUCCGGGGAUAACAGGCUGAUACCGCCCAAGAGUUCAUAUCGACGGCGGGGUUUGGCACCUCGAUGUCGGCUCAUCACAUCCUGGGGCUGAAGUAGGUCCCAAGGGUAUGGCUGUUCGCCAUUUAAAGUGGUACGCGAGCUGGGUUUAGAACGUCGUGAGACAGUUCGGUCCCUAUCUGCCGUGGGCGCUGGAGAAUUGAGGGGGGCUGCUCCUAGUACGAGAGGACCGGAGUGGACGCAUCACUGGUGUUCGGGUUGUCAUGCCAAUGGCACUGCCCGGUAGCUAAAUGCGGAAGAGAUAAGUGCUGAAAGCAUCUAAGCACGAAACUUGCCCCGAGAUGAGUUCU
rnacentral:rRNA from 1 species